GCUUGUCUCAAAGAUUAAGCCAUGCAUGUCUAAGUAUAAACAACUUUGUACUGUGAAACUGCGAAUGGCUCAUUAUAUCAGUUAUAGUUUAUUUGAUGGUUCUUACUACAUGGAUAACCGUAGUAAUUCUAGAGCUAAUACAUGCAUCAAAGCCUGACUUCUGGAAGGGUUGUAUUUAUUAGAUGGAAACCAAUCGCGGGGCAACCCAGUAUCUGGUGAUUCAUAAUAACCGAACGAAUCGUAUGGCAUCAGCUGGCGAUGAAUCAUUCAAGUUUCUGACCUAUCAGCUUCCGACGGUAGGGUAUUGGCCUACCGUGGCAAUGACGGGUAACGGAGAAUUAGGGUUCGAUUCCGGAGAGGGAGCCUGAGAAACGGCUACCACAUCUAAGGAAGGCAGCAGG
rnacentral:rRNA from 1 species